AGAGUUUGAUCCUGGCUCAGAGCGAACGCUGGCGGCAGGCCUAACACAUGCAAGUCGAACGGACCCUUCGGGGUUAGUGGCGGACGGGUGAGUAACACGUGGGAACGUGCCUUUAGGUUCGGAAUAGCUCCUGGAAACGGGUGGUAAUGCCGAAUGUGCCCUUCGGGGGAAAGAUUUAUCGCCUUUAGAGCGGCCCGCGUCUGAUUAGCUAGUUGGUGGGGUAAUGGCCCACCAAGGCUACGAUCAGUAGCUGGUCUGAGAGGAUGACCAGCCACAUUGGGACUGAGACACGGCCCAAACUCCUACGGGAGGCAGCAGUGGGGAAUCUUGCGCAAUGGGCGAAAGCCUGACGCAGCCAUGCCGCGUGUAUGAUGAAGGUCUUAGGAUUGUAAAAUACUUUCACCGGUGAAGAUAAUGACUGUAGCCGGAGAAGAAGCCCCGGCUAACUUCGUGCCAGCAGCCGCGGUAAUACGAAGGGGGCUAGCGUUGCUCGGAAUUACUGGGCGUAAAGGGAGCGUAGGCGGACAUUUAAGUCAGAGGUGAAAUCCCGGAGCUUAACUUCGGAACUGCCUUUGAUACUGGGUGUCUUGAGUGUGAGAGAGGUAUGUGGAACUCCGAGUGUAGAGGUGAAAUUCGUAGA
rnacentral:rRNA from 1 species